rnacentral:rRNA from 1 species
GUGGAUUAGAUACCCUGGUAGUCCACGCCGUAAACGAUGAGCACUAGUUGUUGGGUACGAAUGUAUUCAGUGACGCAGUUAACGCAAUAAGUGCUCCGCCUGGGGAGUACGGUGGCAACACUAAAACUCAAAGGAAUUGACGGGGACCCGCACAAGCAGCGGAGCAUGUGGUUUAAUUCGAAGCAACGCGAAAAACCUUACCAGGGCUUGACAUCCUCCUGACCGGUGCUUAACCGCACCUUUCUUCGGACAGGAGUGACAGGUGGUGCACGGCUGUCGACAACU